CCUACGGGCGGCUGCAGUAGGGAAUCUUCCGCAAUGGACGAAAGUCUGACGGAGCAACGCCGCGUGAGUGAAGAAGGUUUUCGGAUCGUAAAACUCUGUUGUCAGAGAAGAACAAGUUGGAGAGUAACUGCUCCAGCCUUGACGGUAUCUGACUAGAAAGCCACGGCUAACUACGUGCCAGCAGCCGCGGUAAUACGUAGGUGGCAAGCGUUGUCCGGAUCGAUUGGGCGCAGUGCGAGAGGUGGCGGUUGAAAGCCCACGGCUCCACCGUGGAAGGUCAUUGGAAACUGGGGAACUUGAGUGCAGAAGAGGAGAGUGGAAUUCCAUGUGUAGCGGUGAAAUGCGUAGAUAUAUGGAGGAACACCAGUGGCGAAGGCGACUCUCUGGUCUGUAACUGACGCUGAGGCUCGAAAGCGUGGGGAGCAAACAGGAUUAGAUACCCCAGUAGUC
rnacentral:rRNA from 1 species